AACAGGCCCUGGGAGGUAGGGCGAGGGGACCCCUGCAUCCCGCGUAGCCGCUGUCGCACAGGGUCGCCCUCAGACCGCCGCACAGCCCGCAAGCACAGCUGCAGGCUCCUCCGGACCACAGGCAGCACCCCGAGUCACCGUGGUUGGCUUUGGGUGGGGAAGGGUGCAUGCCACGUGCUGCGGUUGGGUGGAGCCCACCCAAGGGGCACUGGGGAAGUCUCACUGGUCAGAUCUGGGGGCCCCACGGGGACUUUGCCUCUGGCGAGCAGGGGUGCAGGAGGCCACAGGCUGGCCACGGCAGCCAGAGAAGGGGUAAGAGACGGAGCUGGGCCUGGGGCAGCCAGCAAGGGCUUCAAGGCAUCACCAGGGAAGGGCCAGGAGCAUGCACAGGGCCCAGGGCUGGCUGGGCACAGGGGGUCAGGGCCGGCUGGGCACAGGGGGUCAGGGCCAGCUGGGCACAGGGGUUCAGGGUCGGCUUGGCAUAGGGAGUCAGGGCCGGCUGGGCACAGGGGGCCAGGGCUGGCUGGGCACAGGGUUCAGGGCCAGCUUGGCGCAAGGAUAAGGGAAAAGGCUCUGAAUAGCUCAUGGGCACCCACAGCCGCAGUGCUCUCCCAUGUGUGUGUUGGGGGAAGGAGCCCCCGCUGACUGUUUUGAAAGGAGCCCUGUGGCUUGGCUCAAGGCUGCCACCACAGCCAGGAGAGGCACCUCACAGUGAGCUGAGCCCCUGGCCCAGGAGGUGGGCAGGGCUGUGGACUUCAGUCCACACUGACAGAGAUGUGUCCUGACAUAGCGGUCUGGUCAGCCUGGCCCCGGGGCCAGCCCUGUGCACCCAGCUCCCCGGUGGGUGCCAGCCGCGAGAGCCCUCGUGACGGGCGCCGGCCGACUCUGCGGUCCGAGGCGUCUUCCUGUGCGUCAGCCCCACCUUGGGCCACGGUGGCCUCCGUGGGCCCCACCCUGACCUGAUGCCUUUCACAGCCGGGUGUGGGUCAUGUGCUGCAGGGCAAGCCCACCUCUUGGCAGGGGUGACAGGCCUCUUUUCACCAGAGGCAGGGUGCCACGGGGCUUGGCACUAGGAGCUAGGGGCAGGAUGGAGGCCCUAGGGCCCCCGUGCCCCGGACCGGGGCCCCACAGUGGGCCACGUCUCCCCCGGACUCAAGAGGAAAGCUGUCUGGGUGUGGCCCGGGGCCACAUUUCCAGGCUCUGCGGUCAUGGAUGGGCUGCAGGUUGAGUCUAAUUAUAACGAUUACGUCACGGGACGUGAUCCAGGCGCAGGCGGCUCUCUGCUCCCCCCAGCCAGCCCCUGGCUGCUACAGAUAAUUAAUUAGGCGGCUAAUUCAGGCCCUGAGGUGGGCUUGGAAGAAUACCGAA
rnacentral:lncRNA from 1 species